CGUAGGCGGUCCGACAAGUCGGGGGUGAAAUCCUGCAGCUUAACUGCAGAAGUGCCUUCGAUACUGUCGGUCUUGAGGGAGAUAGGGGUGUGCGGAACUUCCAGUGGAGCGGUGAAAUGCGUUGAUAUUGGAAGGAACGCCGGAGGCGAAAGCGGCGCACUGGAUCUCUUCUGACGCUGAGGCGCGAAAGCUAGGGGAGCAAACG
rnacentral:rRNA from 1 species